rnacentral:rRNA from 1 species
UAANACUGGGAUNAGAUACCCCACUAUGAGGAGCUUAAAAUUCCCUAAUCUAACUAAAGCACUAAUAUCAUUUUGAUUAAAACUUAAAGAGUAUGGCGGCGGGUCUAACUUUCAGGGGAACUUGCCGUGUAAUAGACAACCCCCAAGAUUAGUUUACACUUCCUUUAAAGCCUUAUUUUUUAACUUAAGCGCUAAAAGUUUGUAUACCGCCGUCUCCAGGCCCUCUCUAAAGAGGGGUGCCAAAUACCAGUAAUCCCGAAAAAGACAGGUCAUGGUGCAGCCCAUGGAAGCGGCCUUAGGUGAGUUACUAUAAUAAGUGCAGCCAUUUCGGACUUUGCUUUUGAAACUUUAAGGGACUCUACCCUUCACAAAGUAAAUAAAGACGGACUUGAAAGUAACAAUUAUUUUACUACCUUUAUUAGCUUGUGAAUUAUUUUAAUAGACCCGUGUACACACCGCCCGUCACC